AGUAGCCGCGGGAAUACGUAGGGUGCAAGCGUUAAUCGGAAUUACUGGGCGUAAAGCGUGCGCAGGCGGUUAUAUAAGACAGAUGUGAAAUCCCCGGGCUCAACCUGGGAACUGCAUUUGUGACUGUAUAGCUAGAGUACGGCAGAGGGGGAUGGAAUUCCGCGUGUAGCAGUGAAAUGCGUAGAUAUGCGGAGGAACACCGAUGGCGAAGGCAAUCCCCUGGGCCUGUACUGACGCUCAUGCACGAAAGCGUGGGGAGCAAACAGGAUUAGAUACCCCCGUAGUCCCUGUCUCUUAUACA
rnacentral:rRNA from 1 species